rnacentral:rRNA from 1 species
CGGGUGCACUGAUCCAGCCGGGCCUUUCCCUCUGUGGAACCCCAUGGCCUUCACUGGCUGUGGUGGGGAAACAGGACUUUUACUUUGAAAAAAUUAGAGUGCUCCAGGCAGGCCUAUGCUCGAAUACAUUAGCAUGGAAUAAUAGAAUAGGACGUGUGGUUCUAUUUUGUUGGUUUCUAGGACCGCCGUAAUGAUUAAUAGGGACAGUCGGGGGCAUCAGUAUUCAAUUGUCAGAGGUGAAAUUCUUGGAUCUAUUGAAGACUAACUACUGCGAAAGCAUUUGCCAAGGAUGUUUUCAUUGAUAAGGAACGAAAGUUAGGGGAUCGAAGACGAUCAGAUACCGUCGUAGUCUUAACUAUAAACUAUGCCGACUAGGGAUCGGACGAUGUUAUUCUUUGACGCGUUCGGCACCUUUCGAGAAAUCAAAGUGCUUGGGCUCCAGGGGGAGUAUGGUCGCAAGGCUGAGACUUAAAGAAAUUGACGGAAGGGCACCACCAGGGGUGGAACCUGCGGCUUAAUUUGACUCAACACGGGGAAACUCACCAGGUCCAGACACAGUGAGGAUUGACAGAUUGAGAGCUCUUUCUUGAUUCUGUGGGUGGUGGUGCAUGGCCGUUCUUAGUUGGUGGAGUGAUUUGUCUGCUUAAUUGCGAUAACGAACGAGACCUUAACCUGCUAAAUAGCCCGUACUGCUUUGGCAGUUCGCCGGCUUCUUAGAGGGACUAUCGG